GUAUUUUAUUGCAGUAAAAGCAAACAGUAUUAUGACAUUCACAGUUAAAAUGUCAUGUAGAACAAAAAAAAAAAAUAAAAAAAAAAAAUCUUAUUUUCUCCUUUUUUUUCAUAUUAAAUUAUGUUUCAUAGCUAAAUAGUUGAUAUUAAAUGAAAGCCCUGUUUCCCCUGAAUAAAAUGAUAUAUAAUACGGGUGGGUGUAUUUACUAUGAAAGAGUUGAAUUACGGUUGGACAGACAUGUAGCGCAAAUGCCAGGUUUUGUUUACAUUCUGUUUCGUUCACGUGUACAUUUGGCUCAGUCCUUAAGUAGAAAUAAAAAGAUAAAUGUACACCCUUUCUACAAAAUAUUCUGCACUUGUGCAUAAACUGGUGGGUGGUAAGGAAAUUUUUCCAUCAAGAAAGAUGCAUUAGUGGGCAGUAGGUAGAAAAAGGUUUACUACCACUGCUGUAAACACUGUCUUUUCAGAGAAAAGUGUUUACAUUACAGCCUAGGGAUACCUCCACUGACCACUCCACAGAGGGCUGCUAGAGGUGCUUCCUGGGGCAGUGUUGCACAUUGUGACUGACAUUCAGUGUCUCCACGUAGACACUGAACUUACUGGCCAGGGCUGUGUUUCACUUGUGCUGGUUCUGUCCCUGAUCUGCCUCCUUUGACAGUCAGCCAGUACACUGCUUUCUUAUAGGAAAACAUUGUGUCAAAUCACCAAGGAGGCAGAUCAGGGGCAGCAGUAGACUGGAUUAAAAGAUAUUUGUUGUUGGUUUUUUUUUUUUUUUUUUUAAACACUAUAGGGUCAGGAAUAAAGGUUUGUGUUCCUGACCUUAGUGUUCCUUUAUCACAUCUUUCCAGUGCAGCCCCUGGAUUAACAUUUCUUUUUAGGGUUAGGACCUUAAAUCAUGUGAUGAGAAACAGAAGGCAUUUUGAGAAGUUCAGCAAUUGCUUUAAUCAGAUCACCUGAAACGGUAGGAGAGCAGAUAUUUUUUUUAACUUCAUUAUACAGGUUCAGUUUCCACAGAUCCAAAGCACAGAAGUGACUGAUUCUGACAAGCUUAAAGGACCACUAUAGUGCCAGGAAAACAUACUAGUUUUCCUGGCACUAUAGUGCCCUGAGGGUGCCCCCACCCGGCUCUGGAAGGGGGAAAGGGUUAAAAACAUACCUUUUUCCUGCGCUGGGCGGGGAGCUCUCCUUCUCUCCUCCUCCGUUCCUCCUCCUGGGCUGAAUGCAAGCGCCUCUAGUGGCUAUCAAUGAAACAGCCACUAGAGGAUUUAGGGGGAAGGCUUAACCCAUUCAUAAACAUAGCAGUUUCUCUGAAACUGCUAUGUUUAUAAAAAAAU